rnacentral:rRNA from 1 species
GAUUAAGUUAUUAAGGGCGCACGGUGGAUGCCUUGGCACUAGAAGCCGAUGAAGGACGUUACUAACGACGAUAUGCUUUGGGGAGCUGUAAGUAAGCUUUGAUCCAGAGAUUUCCGAAUGGGGAAACCCAGCAUGAGUUAUGUCAUGUUAUCGAUAUGUGAAUACAUAGCAUAUCAGAAGGCACACCCGGAGAACUGAAACAUCUUAGUACCCGGAGGAAGAGAAAGAAAAUUCGAUUCCCUUAGUAGCGGCGAGCGAAACGGGAAGAGCCCAAACCAACAAGCUUGCUUGUUGGGGUUGUAGGACACUCUAUACGGAGUUACAAAGGACGACAUUAGACGAAUCAUCUGGAAAGAUGAAUCAAAGAAGGUAAUAAUCCUGUAGUCGAAAAUGUUGUCUCUCUUGAGUGGAUCCUGAGUACGACGGAGCACGUGAAAUUCCGUCGGAAUCUGGGAGGACCAUCUCCUAAGGCUAAAUACUCUCUAGUGACCGAUAGUGAACCAGUACCGUGAGGGAAAGGUGAAAAGCACCCCGGAAGGGGAGUGAAAUAGAACCUGAAACCGUGUGCUUACAAGUAGUCAGAGCCCGUUAAUGGGUGAUGGCGUGCCUUUUGUAGAAUGAACCGGCGAGUUACGAUUUGAUGCAAGGUUAAGCAGUAAAUGUGGAGCCGUAGCGAAAGCGAGUCUGAAUAGGGCGUUUAGUAUUUGGUCGUAGACCCGAAACCAGGUGAUCUACCCUUGGUCAGGUUGAAGUUCAGGUAACACUGAAUGGAGGACCGAACCGACUUACGUUGAAAAGUGAGCGGAUGAACUGAGGGUAGCGGAGAAAUUCCAAUCGAACCUGGAGAUAGCUGGUUCUCUCCGAAAUAGCUUUAGGGCUAGCCUCAAGUGAUGAUUAUUGGAGGUAGAGCACUGUUUGGACGAGGGGCCCUCUCGGGUUACCGAAUUCAGACAAACUCCGAAUGCCAAUUAAUUUAACUUGGGAGUCAGAACAUGGGUGAUAAGGUCCGUGUUCGAAAGGGAAACAGCCCAGACCACCAGCUAAGGUCCCAAAAUAUAUGUUAAGUGGAAAAGGAUGUGGCGUUGCCCAGACAACUAGGAUGUUGGCUUAGAAGCAGCCAUCAUUUAAAGAGUGCGUAAUAGCUCACUAGUCGAGUGACACUGCGCCGAAAAUGUACCGGGGCUAAACAUAUUACCGAAGCUGUGGAUUGUCCUUUGGACAAUGGUAGGAGAGCGUUCUAAGGGCGUUGAAGCAUGAUCGUAAGGACAUGUGGAGCGCUUAGAAGUGAGAAUGCCGGUGUGAGUAGCGAAAGACGGGUGAGAAUCCCGUCCACCGAUUGACUAAGGUUUCCAGAGGAAGGCUCGUCCGCUCUGGGUUAGUCGGGUCCUAAGCUGAGGCCGACAGGCGUAGGCGAUGGAUAACAGGUUGAUAUUCCUGUACCACCUAUAAUCGUUUUAAUCGAUGGGGGGACGCAGUAGGAUAGGCGAAGCGUGCGAUUGGAUUGCACGUCUAAGCAGUAAGGCUGAGUAUUAGGCAAAUCCGGUACUCGUUAAGGCUGAGCUGUGAUGGGGAGAAGACAUUGUGUCUUCGAGUCGUUGAUUUCACACUGCCGAGAAAAGCCUCUAGAUAGAAAAUAGGUGCCCGUACCGCAAACCGACACAGGUAGUCAAGAUGAGAAUUCUAAGGUGAGCGAGCGAACUCUCGUUAAGGAACUCGGCAAAAUGACCCCGUAACUUCGGGAGAAGGGGUGCUCUUUAGGGUUAACGCCCAGAAGAGCCGCAGUGAAUAGGCUUCAAGCGACUGUUUAUCAAAAACACAGGUCUCUGCUAAACCGUAAGGUGAUGUAUAGGGGCUGACGCCUGCCCGGUGCUGGAAGGUUAAGAUGAGUGGUUAGCUUCUGCGAAGCUACGAAUCGAAGCCCCAGUAAACGGCGGCCGUAACUAUAACGAUCCUAAGGUAGCGAAAUUCCUUGUCGGGUAAGUUCCGACCCGCACGAAAGGCGUAACGAUUUGGGCACUGUCUCAACGAGAGACUCGGUGAAAUCAUAGUACCUGUGAAGAUGCAGGUUACCCGCGACAGGACGGAAAGACCCCGUGGAGCUUUACUGUAGCCUGAUAUUGAAAUUCGGCACAGCUUGUACAGGAUAGGUAGGAGCCUUUGAAACGUGAGCGCUAGCUUACGUGGAGGCGCUGGUGGGAUACUACCCUAGCUGUGUUGGCUUUCUAACCCGCACCACUUAUCGUGGUGGGAGACAGUGUCAGGCGGGCAGUUUGACUGGGGCGGUCGCCUCCUAAAAGGUAACGGAGGCGCUCAAAGGUUCCCUCAGAAUGGUUGGAAAUCAUUCAUAGAGUGUAAAGGCAUAAGGGAGCUUGACUGCGAGACCUACAAGUCGAGCAGGGUCGAAAGACGGACUUAGUGAUCCGGUGGUUCCGCAUGGAAGAGUAGCCAUCGCUCAACGGAUAAAAGCUACCCCGGGGAUAACAGGCUUAUCUCCCCCAAGAGUUCACAUCGACGGGGAGGUUUGGCACCUCGAUGUCGGCUCAUCGCAUCCUGGGGCUGUAGUCGGUCCCAAGGGUUGGGCUGUUCGCCCAUUAAAGCGGUACGCGAGCUGGGUUCAGAACGUCGUGAGACAGUUCGGUCCCUAUCCGUCGUGGGCGUAGGAAAUUUGAGAGGAGCUGUCCUUAGUACGAGAGGACCGGGAUGGACAUACCUCUGGUGUACCAGUUGUCGUGCCAACGGCAUAGCUGGGUAGCUAUGUGUGGACGGGAUAAGUGCUGAAAGCAUCUAAGCAUGAAGCCCCCCUCAAGAUGAGAUUUCCCAACUUCGGUUAUAAGAUCCCUCAAAGAUGAUGAGGUUAAUAGGUUCGAGGUGGAAGCAUGGUGACAUGUGGAGCUGACGAAUACUAAUCGAUCGAAGACUUAAUCAA